UACGGAAGGUGCGAGCGUUGUUCGGAUUGAUUGGGCGUAAAGCGCAUGUAGGCGGGUUCGUAAGUCGGAUGUGAAAGCCCUAGGCUCAACCUGGGAACUGCAUCUGAAACUGCGAAUCUUGAAUGCUCGAGGGGUUGGUGGAAUUCCUGGUGUAGGAGUGAAAUCCGUAGAUAUCAGGAGGAACACCGGAGGCGAAGGCGGCCAACUGGCGAUGCAUUGACGCUGAGGUGCGAAAGCGUGGGGAGCAAACAGG
rnacentral:rRNA from 1 species